AACGUAGGAGACAAACGUUAUCCGGAGUUACUGGGCGUAAAGGGCUCGUAGGCGGCCAACUAAGUCAGACGUGAAAUCCCUCGGCUUAACCGGGGAACUGCGUCUGAUACUGGAUGGCUUGAGAUUGGGAGAGGGAUGCGGAAUUCCAGGUGUAGCGGUGAAAUGCGUAGAUAUCUGGAGGAACACCGGUGGCGAAGGCGGCAUCCUGGACCAACACUGACGCUGAGUGAGCGAAAGCCAGGGGAGCAAACGGG
rnacentral:rRNA from 1 species